UUGCAUUGGCUUCCACUGACUUUGAAUACCACUUCACUUUUUUCCCCGCUGUAAUCAUUCUGCAGAAGCAAAAGUUCAUAUCAUGGAGGAGUGAACAAGGAAUUUGCUCUCUUUGUAUAAUACAACUGUUUGUGAAAUAAUGGCAAGUCCACUGGCGUUGGACAUAGAGGAUAGGAUUGUCCAGUAAACAGAACACUGACCCAAACAGAAUUCAGGAACAGAAGUGACUUUCCCAUCCUGCUGUUAGUCUCACACUCUUGAAAGACAUUUGAAUUUCUGAGGAGGGAAAUCUUGAGGGAAGAAAACUGUUUUCAAAUUUUCAAUUUAUCUGUAGCCUACAAGGAAAAUGACU